GACUGGGUCACACCCAACCAAUACCCAGUUCCAGGAGGACCCCCACUGUCCCUAGCCCAGGGUCAGAGUCGGGGCUCAUCACCAGCCACCUCCCACACUCAGGCCAUCCUGAGAGCGGGGACACUGAAACUCUACCCAGAAAUCCACCAACAGGCCAAGAAAGCCCCGGAAAAGCCUGCUUCCACUGCCCUGGGAGCUCGCACUUGCCUGUUCGCUGAGUCUCUCAGGAAGGCAGCCGGGUAGUGGACCGCGUUUUCACAAGUUCUCCUGUGGGCCGGUGCUGCUCAACAGGCCACCAGCCUCAGCCCGGGCAGCAGCUGAUCUCUAUCAACCGCACCCACUCAAACUAUCCUCACCUGGAUUCUCAGCCCACACUCCUGAUCAGGGAUCACCUGACCCGAAGCACGGAAGCGCCUUGGACUCCGCCCCUGUCUUCUUAGAUGAAGAAGCUACAAUAAGGCCCCACAGGGUUAGCAGAAGCUUCCAUGGCUCCUUUGCCUUCUCCAGUUGUGUUUGAACAGCGGCAGAUGAGGAGCUCUUCUAGAAGGUGCACUCCGUUGUUAGGGAGACGGAACUGGGAUUUCCUGGGUCACUUCCAACUUCAAGAUUAGCUUUUUGAUUAUGAAACAUAGACCCAGAGAGAUGAAGUGACUUAACCAAGGACACCUCAAGCUCAUGGCAGAGAUGUGGCAGCUGAAGGCUUGUGCUUUUGUUUCUACAGCCAUUGUUCUUUCCACAAUUCAAGUCAUCUUGGCUACAGGGGACCCGAGAAGCCCUGAUUUGUACUUCAACAUCUGAUUAUACCUUUUUAGCAGCUCAUUAAAUGCUCCUACCCUGGCA